rnacentral:rRNA from 1 species
AUUGAACGCUGGCGGCAGGCCUAACACAUGCAAGUCGAGCGAGUGGCGGACGGGUGAGUAAUGUAUGGGGAACUGCCCGAUAGAGGGGGAUAACUACUGGAAACGGUGGCUAAUACCGCAUACUAUCGGAUGAACCCCUAUGGGAUUAGCUAGUAGGUUGGGUAAAGGCUCACCUAGGCGACGAUCUCUAGCUGGUCUGAGCGGAUGACCAGCCACACUGGAACUUAGACACGGCCCAGACUCCGACGGGAGGCAGCAGUGGGGAAUAUUGCACAAUGGGCGCAAGCCUGAUGCAGCCAUGCCGCGUGUAUGAAGAAGGCCUUAGGGUUGUAAAGUACUUUCAGCGGGGAGGCGUUACCCGCAGAAGAAGCACCGGCUAACUCCAUGCCAGCAGCCGCGGUAAUUC